rnacentral:rRNA from 1 species
UACGUAGGGGGCUAGCGUUGUCCGGAAUCAUUGGGCGUAAAGAGCGCGUAGGCGGCUAGAUAAGUCCGGUGUGAAAGUCACAGGCUCAACCUGUGAAUGCCGCUGGAAACUGUCUGGCUAGAGUCCGGAAGGGGCGAGUGGAAUUCCUGGUGUAGCGGUGAAAUGCGCAGAUAUCAGGAGGAACACCAAUGGCGAAGGCAGCUCGCCGGGAUGGUACUGACGCUGAGGCGCGAAAGCGUGGGGAGCAAACAGG